rnacentral:misc_RNA from 1 species
AUGAUUGCAAAUGGGUUGCCUUCAGUGCUGGCUCUUGACUUGAGAGCAAGUGCACGUUGGUGGCUUCCAUCCAAUCCCACACCCUUGUGAACCUUUGGCCUCUUGCUAGCUUUGGCUUGCAGAGGAUUUUUUACAUACACACUCAAAUGUAAUGAAAGCUAUUGUUGUGCACGAGCACUAAUGUA